rnacentral:rRNA from 1 species
AACGAACGCUGGCGGCGUGCUUAACACAUGCAAGUCGAACGCAUAUUGGGAAACUGAUAUGAGUGGCAGACGGGUGAGUAAUUUAUGGGAACGUACCCUAAAGUUCGGAAUAACGAGUGGAAACGCUCGCUAAUACCGGAUACGCCCUGAGAGGGGGAAAGGUUGAUCUGCUUUAGGAGCGGCCCAUAAUCCAUUAGGUAGUUGGUGAGGUAAAGGCUCACCAAGCCCGUGAUGGAUAGCUGGUUUGAGAAGAUGAACAGCCACACUGGGACUGAGACACGGCCCAGACUCCUACGGGAGGCAGCAGUGGGGAAUAUUGGACAAUGGGGGAAACCCUGAUCCAGCGACGCCGCGUGAAUGAAGAAGGUUUUCGGAUUGUAAAGUUCUUUUGUUAGGGAAGAUAAUGACGGUACCUAACGAAUAAGCCCCGGCUAACUUCGUGCCAGCAGCCGCCGUAAUAC